rnacentral:rRNA from 1 species
GACGAACGCUAGCGGCGUGCUUAACACAUGCAAGUCGAACGAUGAAGCCUAGCUUGCUAGGUGGAUUAGUGGCGAACGGGUGAGUAAUACGUGAGUGACCUACCUUUGACUCUGGGAUAAGCCUGGGAAACUGGGUCUAAUACCGGAUACGACCAAUCUCCGCAUGGGGUGUUGGCGGAAAGCGUUAUGGAGUGGUUUUAGAUGGGCUCACGGCCUAUCAGCUUGUUGGUGAGGUAAUGGCUUACCAAGGCGACGACGGGUAGCCGGCCUGAGAGGGUGACCGGCCACACUGGGACUGAGACACGGCCCAGACUCCUACGGGAGGCAGCAGUGGGGAAUAUUGCACAAUGGGCGCAAGCCUGAUGCAGCGACGCCGCGUGAGGGAUGACGGCCUUCGGGUUGUAAACCUCUGUUAGCAUCGAAGAAGCGAAAG